ACGAAGUCGUAACAAGGUAGCUGUAGCGGAAGCUGCGGCUGGAUCACCUCCUUUCUAGGGAGUA
rnacentral:rRNA from 1 species